AGCAGCCGCGGUAAUUCCAGCUCCAAUAGCGUAUAUUAAAGUUGUUGCAGUUAAAAAGCUCGUAGUUGAAUUUCGGGAUUCUUCCGUUGGUCAGGCUAACAAGUCUGUACUAGCGUGUAGAAUCUCUACCUUCUGGGGAACCAUCAUGUUAUUAAUUUAGCGUGGUGGGAAACCAGGACCUUUACCUUGAAAAAAUUAGAGUGUUCAAAGCAGGCUUACGUCUGAAUACAUUAGCAUGGAAUAACAAAAG
rnacentral:rRNA from 1 species